UAGCUAGUCAACCUCGUACGACUUGCAGCCAGAAGUUAACUGUGCGGGAUGCUCGAGCCGCCUCGUCAUUCUAUUGAUCCGGGAAAACAGCCUAGGGUGCAAACUUCUUUAUCAUCAAGUGGGUCUCGGCCAGUAUUCAGUCCCAGCGAGGAUGAGGUCGACCGUAAAUGGGUGAAGACGCUAGGCCGGAAGGAAAUCCACAAGAAUAUGAAGGAGUUUUUUAACAGUAUGUUUGAUAAACUGAAAUGUAAGGGCAAGGGAAAAUCUUCUUGACGGUCCACCCGAUGAUUACCGUCGAGCCAAGUCUGCACCAAGGAACACAGCGGAUGAUGAGGACAGAGAUGGUCCCCACGAUUUAUGUGCCCUCGAUUUUGGUGCCCGAAAUUCUUAUGCCUCUUAUUCGACCUAUGGGCCAGGUCAGAGCUACUAGACGCUGUCUCUGCACUAUUUUGAUGGAUCUGCCUUUGUCCAUCCUCGUUCUUCAUACCAAGGCUACGGCUCGAGUUAAAGCACCUCACUGACGAUGGACCCACCUCAAUAAACGAUGUCGGAGUAUAUGCCAGAUGGUCCGGUCUACUUUGCUGAGCCUCUUAGUUUUGCUCCACCAUUGUUGCGGAGUGAAUCUAGUUCAUCACGAGCGGCCCAGACGUCUAUUGAGUUCUAUGAGCGUCAUUUGAGUAUUAUGGAACCGCCAUAGGUGGAAGAGACCGAGGAGGCUCCUCAUUUGAGCGCCAUAGGCGGAGGAGGCUACUUGUCGCAGCCAGAAGUAGCGUCGUUCGUCUUCCUUCCAAAGCUCGCCUUGGGUUAAUAUAUCCUAUUGGCACGUCCAGUGCCUCUAGCAACAAGCCUUGCAUAUGACAAGUGGAUGGAUGCUUGUCGAGGUGGGAGGAAGCUUCAAGUGAUUGUUCAGGAGAGCGGUGGCAUACUAGAGUAUGCGAACUUCGAGCUAGUGGAAAAUCCGCGAAAAGAAUUCACGACCGGGGCUAUUGACUUAUACAUGAUGUCGCCGAGAAAUAGGCUUGUCAACGACCGGGACAUACUUGAUGGAGUCAAUAGUAAUAACACAAUCAUAGUAGACUCAGAUUGGUUUGGAGUAUCAUGUAUUGACCCAUCCCAAUACAGCUUAUAAUUGGCAGCCUCGCAUAGACUGGAUCUUCGUAAUACGUGGAGUUCCACUUCCAGAUUAACCACUUGCUCCCGGUUAGAGUGGAUGGUUGAAGGCGUCACAGGUGUUUGCUAGGUGUAUGACCCAGUAUCACACAAUCUUAAUGCCGCUGGUCGAUCUUACAGAGAGUGACGCAGCUACAUCCUCUUUUGAGAUUGUUGCCGCGUAUCCUUGCUCACACUAGAUGGUAUGAAGGCUCGUCGGUUGAUGCGACAAAGGCGCUUAUGAAGUGGCCAGUUAUGGAGUUGGUGUUCUCUCCCCUCGAGGUACAGUUUCAACAGCAGGACGCCAUCAGUUGUGGGGAUUUCAUCUGCGUGUAUGCAAAACGACUGAUAUCUGGCUCUCUAUCUAUGGAGUGGGGUAAUGAAAACGUGUUGGCUGAUAGGACUAAGAUUGUAAUACCUCGGAUUUUCGAUCCUAGGAUUCAUAUGGUUUUAUUGAUAUUAUUAGGAUGUGAUAGGUCCUUAAUUCCCGGUUAAAAAGAAUAAUUAUCCUUGCGGUAACUUAAUAAGACUUGAUGCCAAGGUUUUCUUUUAAGAAAAA